UACGGAGGGGACUAGCGUUGUUCGGAAUCACUGGGCGUAAAGCGCGCGCAGGCGGGUGCGGAAGUCGGGGGUGAAAGGCCGGGGCUCAACCCCGGACCGUUCUCUCGAUACUCCGUGCCUAGGGACCGGUAGAGGCCAGUAGAAUUCCCGGAGUGGCGGUGGAAUGCGUAGAUAUCGGGAAGAACACCAGAGGCGAAGGCGACUGGCUGGGCCGGAUCCGACGCUCAGGCGCGAAAGCGUGGGGAGCAAACAGG
rnacentral:misc_RNA from 1 species